rfam:Skermanella stibiiresistens SB22 contig3, whole genome shotgun sequence.
GGAUAGGUGGCCGAGAGGCUGAAGGCACAGCUUUGCUAAAGCUGCGUGGGGGAAACCUCACCGUGGGUUCGAAUCCCACCCUAUCCG